GCUGUUUCGAUGGACGGUGAGAUGAGAGCACAGAUGGAGAGAGGUUCGCUGUUGGAGUUUGCUGCUGGCUGGGGUUAGGCCACAAGCCCCUGAGGGCAGACGGGACGGCUGGCAGCCUGGGCCUGUCCACGCCUCCCUCUCCAGCCUCCAUCACACCGUCACUGCAGUGGGAAGUCGGGCCGGAGCAGCCUCUGAAGAGAAACGGCCCGUCUAUCCAGCAAGCUCCCAGGGACAGCUGUGGGCUCAGUCCUUCUGCCCAGCUAUUUUGUCUGGAAGCAGCAUCUACGUGUUUAAUUAUGCAAUUAAAGUAAUUUUCCUGGGCCAGACAAAUAUUUGCAGCAUAUUUUGCUGCAAAUUGCUCCGCCUGGAGAGGAGUUUUGCCAGUCUGGCACACUCACGCUUACAUGGCCAUCACUGGGGGCUCACAGCCAUAAAGGGGUUGCAGACUGAGCACCCCAGGAACAAGCUUCAAUGCGGACGCUGGCAGGUGUCGUCAACAAGGCGAAUGUGAGCUUGGCCCUGCGACCAAUGCUGCUGUGGACUAAAUGCUGCCCAAUGCUCCUCCAUGCUCCUCAAUCCCACUCCACGGCACUGAGAAGCCAGGUCCCGGACGGCAGAGCCAUGUGAGACAGACCAGCUCAGCGGGCAGCGUCUCACACCCAGGCACAUCCUCUGCUCACACUGCCGCAGAAGGUGCCUGUCCGUCUGGAGGACUGAACUGGAUGUGGCUCCUUAGAGGGGAGGAAAACUCUGGCUAUUUCCCAGCCCUGAGGGACAUUCCUAGCCUCAGUUUCCCCAUAUGUAAACUGGGAGUGGCCUCGACUUUACCCUCCACAGGGAGCUGAGGGGGACGGCUGUGAAGGGGGAACCCUGGGCUGCCGUGAUGAGCGCGAGAGCCAGCGCUGAGGGCUGACCGCACAGCUGGGCCGUCAGGUGCGCACCCCCUGGAGAGUGCAUCUCCGCAGAAUCGUGUGAGCAGGAAGCUCAUGGCAGCGUGCACUGCACUAAACCCCCAGUGAGCACCCAGUUGCAGGAGAGGCUGGGCAAGGUGCAAGGCCGGGCAAGGCCCUCCACCACCCACUUCUCAGAGCAGCCCACUGUGCUGGGGCGUCUCAGGUACAGAAGGGGCUGAUUCAUGCUGCCAGAGAUGGUCCCUUUGGAGAGCCUUCUGGGAGUCACUUUCUCCCCACCCUCUUCCCUGGGGAGGGCAGUAGAGAAAACUAUUGCUUAAAAAAAAAAAAAGUAAACG